ACGGGUGAGUAAUGCCUAGGAAUCUGCCUGGUAGUGGGGGACAACGUUUCGAAAGGAACGCUAAUACCGCAUACGUCCUACGGGAGAAAGCAGGGGACCUUCGGGCCUUGCGCUAUCAGAUGAGCCUAGGUCGGAUUAGCUAGUUGGUGAGGUAAUGGCUCACCAAGGCGACGAUCCGUAACUGGUCUGAGAGGAUGAUCAGUCACACUGGAACUGAGACACGGUCCAGACUCCUACGGGAGGCAGCAGUGGGGAAUAUUGGACAAUGGGCGAAAGCCUGAUCCAGCCAUGCCGCGUGUGUGAAGAAGGUCUUCGGAUUGUAAAGCACUUUAAGUUGGGAGGAAGGGUUGUAGAUUAAUACUCUGCAAUUUUGACGUUACCGACAGAAUAAGCACCGGCUAACUCUGUGCCAGCAGCCGCGGUAAUACAGAGGGUGCAAGCGUUAAUCGGAAUUACUGGGCGUAAAGCGCGCGUAGGUGGUUCGUUAAGUUGGAUGUGAAAUCCCCGGGCUCAACCUGGGAACUGCAUCCAAAACUGGCGAGCUAGAGUAUGGUAGAGGGUGGUGGAAUUUCCUGUGUAGCGGUGA
rnacentral:rRNA from 1 species